CACGCCGUAAACGAUGGAUACUAAGCAUUGGUAGUAUCGACCCUAUCAGUGCUGUUAAUUUAAGGAAACCCGUUAAGUAUCCCGCCUGGGGAGUACGAGCGCAAGCUUAAAACUCAAAGGAAUAGACGGGGACCCGCACAAGCGGUGGAGCAUGUGGUUUAAUUCGACUCUAAGCGAGGAACCUCACCAAGGCUUGACAUCUAGCUGCAAGGUCUGGAAACAGAUCCGCCUUCGAGGGUGCUAGACAGAUGC
rnacentral:rRNA from 1 species